CACGUAGGGGGCGAGCGUUGUCCGGAUUUAUUGGGCGUAAAGAGCUCGUAGGCGGCUCAGUAAGUCGGGUGUGAAAACUCCAGGCUCAACCUGGAGACGCCACCCGAUACUGCUGUGGCUAGAGUCCGGUAGGGGAGCAUGGAAUUCCUGGUGUAGCGGUGAAAUGCGCAGAUAUCGGGAAGAACACCCGUGGCGAAGGCGGUUCUCUGGGACGGUACUGACGCUGAGACGCGAAAGCGUGGGGAGCGAACAGG
rnacentral:rRNA from 1 species